GGGAGCAUGGUCAAGGGGACCAUGAGUGGACCAAGAAGAUGAAGAGUGACACUCUCCUGUGAUGAUGAUGAUGAUGGUGCUGCUGCUGAUGGGUCUUGCCAGAUCCUCCAGAAUGCACUGAGACUCCGAGUUUGCAGAAACGGACACCAAGGCUGCAGAGGAGAUGCCCGCCAUAAGGGCCUCUGAACCACAACCGGCCUUGACACCACGCCCAGGAGAUGUGGAAACUAAACCUCAGAGGAGUAAUUUUCCCAUGAUGAGAAAGUCAGCAUGAGAUCUUCAAAAGCCUUCCGGUCCAACUCAGAAGUGGCCCAGAGAGACAGUGGUGAAGAAGCAUCCUCCAGGAGUCAGAACUCGGGCAGUACACCCUUGGCCAAGGGAGAAUUAGAAGCCUGGAGCUGCACCAAUAUACAGGGUCAAAGUCAUCUCAGAUGAGGACCGGGAGCUACCCCUUCACCAGUGGCUCCAGAAAACAACCUGUAAUCAGCCCGAAUGGACCAAGACAAGGCCAGGUGCAGCUCGUCCAAUAGAGUCUGGAUUUGGUGAGCGGUACCCUAACAAGCACACAAAAUGCUUUAAGGCCAUAAAACUCUGUGAUAAAUAGUAACUGCUCUCAGAAACCAAUGCAUCAGCGAUUCCUUUGAAGAAUGUCUUCAAAAUGACUCUUCAAAGAUGCUGUAAUGUGGUUGUAUCUACGUGACAUCAAAAACAUCGGAAGCAAAACUGUUUUGUCUACACUGAGCCAAGUCUUGAGAUAUUUACAUACAUUUGAAGACAUAGAGGAAAAAGAAUCCUGGCAAGGAGCUGAUUUUUGCUUCACAUCCUGUUCACAGCAAGCGAAGAAGGAGCCCAUACCAAAUGAUGCUUUAUUAAUUAAAGUAAAAACUCACAUCUGACUUAACAAGCAUUUACUGGGCAACCCCAUUAACCUAAAGCCAGUGGAUUCCCACACCAGCCAGAAGCCUUCCAAUCGCAGAGAGGCCGGAACGAAAGCCCUAUGAGGUCCCGUCGGCAAAGGAACGGCAGCACAGGGCGGGAGUUAGAGCAUCCAAAAGCCACCAAGCAUCCAGACAUCCCGAUAAAAUUACAGUCCGCUUCA